rnacentral:lncRNA from 1 species
UCUCAACCAUCUCAUAAUGCAUUUGUACUCACACAUGCAAACAUUCACAUAAUUAUCACUUCAAUCACCCUACUAUGCAUGCAACAAUAUACAUAUGUUCAAUAAGUGACACAUUAGACAUAAAGAAAAUUUCAGAGAGUUUGGAUAGCACCACCCACCUAUUAGGCUUGCUAAGGUGCUACGGUGAAUUUCUCGGAAUUUUUGGACUUCUAUUCCACGUGCUACGGCUAUCUGUACAAAAAUCGAUCUUUUUGUCAAUAUCUUUGCAUAGGCUUUUCGUUUCCUCAAACCGAACGCACAAACGCAUCGAAAAUACCCCCAAUUA